UACGAAGGGGGCUAGCGUUGUUCGGAAUUACUGGGCGUAAAGCGUGCGCAGGCGGCUUCUCAAGUCAGGGGUGAAAGCCCAGAGCUCAACUCUGGAAUUGCCUUUGAGACUGAGUGGCUUGAGUACGGGAGAGGUGAGUGGAAUUCCCAGUGAUAGAGGUGAAAUUCGUAGAUAUUGGGAAGAACACCGGUGGCGAAGGCGGCUCACUGGCUCAUUACUGACGCUCAGGCGCGAUAGCGUGGGGAUCAAACAGG
rnacentral:rRNA from 1 species